GGUAGCCCCUCUGGUUGCCCUCAACCAAUAUUCUUUGUACACUUGUUAAUGUUGAUUUGGAAGUGGGCUGUUUGCUCAGUGGGGGAAGGAUGCAGAAGAAAGACACAGUGCCAGCGCUCAGCCUCUUCUCUACUGUUUCAAGCAAUUCAGCUGGAACCACAAACUUGUACGCCCCGCUUUGCCAGAAGGAAAGCUCGGCAGCUGAUCUGACCCACUCUCCUUAGCCAGAAGGAUCUUUUCAUUAUGCUUAAAACCCCUCUUUAAAACCGUCAUGACUCCCACUUCUGGAACAGUGAUGUGAGGCUCAGUAUGGACCCACUCU
rnacentral:lncRNA from 1 species